UCUCGCCGUAAACCCUCAUCCGCCGCCGCCGCCGCCGCCGCCACCGCCACCGCGGCGAUCGCCAUGGCCACCUCCGCCGCCGCCCCCCGCGCGCACCGCCUAUCUCGCAUCUUCUCCUCUACUGCUCGGUCCGUGCAGCCACCCAAGGGCAAGCCCACUCCGCCCAAGGAAGCUCCCGCUGCCGUCGCCGGGGCGGAAUCCAUCCCUCGCCGGAAGGAACGGAAGGACCGAAAGGACCUCAACAACAUCGUCAAGGGCCUCUUGCUGGAGCGCAACCCGGACAAGCUGGUGUCCGGGUUCAUCGCUGCCUCGUCCAAGCAUCCGCGCUUCCGCAGCCGGCACCGCGUGUACGGCGUGGCUGUGUCCCGCCUCGCGAAAUUCGGCCGCCACGACGGCGUCGAGGCCAUCAUCGACGCGCAGAAGCCCUUCCUGGAGACCUCUACGGAGGGCUUUGCCGCGCGCCUCAUUCGUCUGUACGGCCACGCAUCCAUGGUUUCCCACGCCGCUGCGACGUUCCAUGACCUCCCUCCGCAGCAUAAAUCCACCAUGACCUUCAACGCUCUCCUCUCAAGCUAUGCCGAGGCUGGAGAGUUCGACGCGCUUGCUGCCGCAUUCAAAGAGAUCCCGGCCUCCAACCCAUCGGUUGUGCCCAGCGUGCAUUCCUAUAACAUAAUCCUUCACGCGCUGUGCAAUAAGCCCGACCUCUCGGCGGCACUUGAUACUGUGGCACUCAUGGAGAAGUGCGGUGUUUUACCCGAUCUGAUCACUUUCAACACGCUGUUGAAUGGAUUUUACAACCAUGGCCGCUUGGAUGGCGCCGGGAAAGUCUGGGAGAUGAUGAAGGAGAGGAAUAUUGUGCCGGACGUAAAGAGCUAUAAUGCAAAACUGCGAGGUCUUGUUGCGGAAGGGAGGAUCGAAGAUGCAGUUGCACUUCUUGAAACAAUGGAGAAGGAUGGGCCGAGGCCUGACACAGUAUCCUACAAUGAGUUGAUUCGAGCGUAUUGCAAAGAUGGGAGGUUAGAGGAGGCCAAGAAUCUUUAUGAAGAUUUGGCAAAAAAUGCUUGUGCUUCAAAUAGGGGGACAUAUCAUGCCCUCAUGCCAUGUGUUGUGAAGGCUGGAGAGCUCGAUUACGCUUUGAAGUGCUGUUAUGAGAUAUUUAGUAAAAAAUGUAGAGUGGAUUGUUUUGUGCUGCAAGAGGUAGUGAAUGCGUUGGUCACGGCAUCAAGGAUGGAGGAUGCUGCCAAGGUUGUUGAGCUUGGAUGGAAGAACAACUAUCCACGGAGGAUCUUGAAGAUGCCGUGUGCUGUUGAAGGUGAUAAAGUCCUAGAGGAAACAGAUGGGGAAGACUCGACACCAGAAGAGCAAGAGGAGCAUGAAAAUCCUUGACAAGGAUGACCCUCCUUGUGCUUUGCCCUGAUCUGUCGUAACAAUGUGCUGCAGGAUGGUUCUGCUAGGUUUUGAGAUGAUCCUGAAAAUGUUUCCAAGAGUUCUAUUUGAUAGAAAUCAAGUAUGCAUGCAAAUGAGAAAUUUCUGGUUAACACGCUGGAUAAAAUCAAUAAAAAGAUGGUCGUUUAUCGUUUUGCUACUACUCUUCUGGUGCUGACCCUGAAACUAUCUCUGAUAAAAAUGAGAUUUUUGGCGUGUCUUUUGUCUCUCCCUUUAUUCUGAAAGACUACAAAAACUUCUCGGCUAUGUUAUCAUUCAGGCCUUCCACAGGUGGGGUUUUCUGUAAGCUUGUUUAUCUGAUUAGUGUUUUGUCUGUAUUAGUUGUCAUCUAUUACUACCUAGGGCAUUCCAAACUUGUGAUCUGGAGGAAAUUCUAUAGUUUUAGCCAUUUACUGCAACGUAUUGUGGAAGGUGAAUUUAUCAUUAAGGAAAAGCGAUGUGAUCUCUAAUUUGUUCUUCGCACAAAAACUGUUUAAAAUUA